rnacentral:misc_RNA from 1 species
ANGGCAGCAACUCGCGAGACUAGCAAAUCCCUAAACCGUGGCUCAGUUCAGAUCGUAGGCUGCAACUCGCCUACGUGAAGUAGGAAUCGCUAGUAAUCGCAGGUCAGCAUACUGCGGUGAAUACGUUCCCGGGCCUUGUACACACCGCCCGUCACACCAUGGAAGUUGGCCAUGCCCGAAGUCGUUACUCCAACCCUUGUGGAGGAGGACGCCGAAGGUGGGGCUAAUGACUGGGGUGAAGUCGUAACAAGGUAGCCGUACCGGAAGGUGCGGCUGGAUCACCUCCUAACAGGGAGACAACAAAAUGUAAAUAUUAAUUUUGUCACCUUAGGUCGAUCGGUAUCUCAGAUUCUUAAAAUAUUUAAGAAUUUCAGUUUCUAAGUUUUUUCUAGGUCACACCCAUCACUUUUUCCUGGGCCAUUAGCUCAGGUGGUUAGAGCGCACCCCUGAUAAGGGUGAGGUCCCUGGUUCAAGUCCAGGAUGGCCCAUAUCUCUAUGUUGGGGGUAUAGCUCAGUUGGUAGAGCGCCUGCUUUGCAAGCAGGAUGUCAGCGGUUCGAGUCCGCUUACCUCCACUGAAUACCACCUCUUUACAUAUAGUUGAAGUGGGAAAUUGUUUUGAGUCGUGUCCUAAUUUGCUCUGAGCGAAUCUAGCUUCCUAUUUUAUCCAAGAAAUAAGAUGCUGGACUCAUUGAAUUUUUUUCAUUGUUUUCAGAGAACCUUGACAACUGCAUUGAUUAUUUUUAAAGACAAUAAGCAUCUUUAAUGAUGCAGAUUUAUUAUUUGUGCGAAUGCAUUAAAUAACAAUUCUAUUAAGCUGAUGCUUCAAUUAUUGAAGUUAUUGGUCAAGCUACAAAGGGCUCACGGAGGAUACCUAGGCACACAGAGGCGAUGAAGGACGUGGUUACCUGCGAUAAGUCUCGGGGAGUUGGAAGCACACUUUGAUCCGGGAAUUUCCGAAUGGGGCAACCCCUUGAACGACCAACUGAAUAUAUAGGUUGGUGCGAGCUAACCCAGCGAACUGAAACAUCUUA